rnacentral:lncRNA from 1 species
AUAUAUAUAGAAUUAGGCUACUAUACUAUCGGUAGCACGGAGUGUUCCGUACUACCAAGUUAUUUUCGAUGAUACGGCUUCCAAAUCGACGAUCGGCUCCGUUAGACUUGAUCUACACUAUUGAAAGUAUUUAGAAACUAAAUUUCAUAAUUUUUCGAUAUCAUUUACCUAUCAAACAAGUAGUCUAAAAUUGAACGGCUGAAAAUAAAAAUCUCAUGAAAAAUGAUGAUAAAAGAUUUAAAUUCAAGAUCAGAUAUACUGAUCUUACUCUAAAUAGUGAAAAGAAUUUUCUAUAAAAUUUUAAUCGUAUUUGGAUUGUUUUACACUGUUAAACUCACAAACACACCACAUCGGCCAUUAAAAUUAUCAAUUUUGAGAUAUUUUGAUCACUAGUCAAAUGAUGUUGAAAAAUUAUGAAAUUUAGUUUCCAAAUACUUUUAAUAGUAUAGAUCAAGUCUAACGGAGCCGAUCGUCGAUUUGGAAGCCGCAUCAUCGAAAACAACUUGGUAGCACGGGAGGCCCUGUGCUACCGAUAGUAUAGUAGCCGGACUCUAUAUAUAUAUAUAUAUAUAUAUAUAUAAUGUACCGAAUUUUUAAUAUAAAAAUAAAUGGAAAUAAAAAUAGUGUAACAUACUAUUUUUAUUAGACUUAAAUAAAUAAAAUAUAGGUCGGAAAUGACUUGUACUGAAAUUGGAAUAGAAACAGAAGAUUUAUAAUUUUUUUGUAAGAAACGGGGCUAAUCUUUUAGCAAAAAAUUUACAGUGUUAGAAAAUUAUGAAAAUUUGAUAAUAUAACGGAAUUAUUUUUCUGAGGCUAGAUUUAAAGUUUAAUGUCAUUUCGACAUCCGAAAAGUGAAAAAUAAAAUCUGACUGCUAUCUACUAGAGAUUCUAAUCAGUAGACUUUUCGGUGAUGAAAAAUAGUUUAAAACUGAAAAGUUAAUAUUUCGUUCUUCUUAUUAAUUUUAACCGAGUCUGACUAUCAAAAUUGAGCGUAAACGGAUAUUCAGAAGGGCUCCGGUGAAAAGUAUCAGAUCUGAGCUGGACUAAAUUUUAAGUUGUAUUGGGUAGGGGG